GACGAACGCUGGCGGCGUGCCUAAUACAUGCAAGUUGAGCGCUGAAGGUUGGUACUUGUACCAACUGGAUAAGCAGCGAAAGGGUGAGUAAAGCGUGGGGAAUCUGCCUUUGAGCGGGGGACAAAAUUUGGAAACGAAUGCUAAAACCGCAUAAAAACUUUAAACACAAGUUUUAAGUUUGAAAGAUGCAAUUGCAUCACUCAAAGAUGAUCCCGCGUUGUAUUAGCUAGUUGGCGAGGUAAAGGCUCACCAAGGCGAUGAUACAUAGCCGCCCUGAGAGGGUGAUCGGCCAAAUUGGGACUGAGACACGGCCCAAACUACUGCGGGAGGCAGCAGUAGGGAAUCUUCGGCAAUGGACGAAAGUCUGACCGAGCAACGCCGCGUGAGUGAAGAAGGUUUUCGGAUCGUAAAACUCUGUUGGUAGAGAAGAACGUUGGUGAGAGUGGAAAGCUCAUCAAGUGACGGUAACUACCCAGAAAGGGACGGCUAACUACGUG
rnacentral:rRNA from 1 species